rnacentral:rRNA from 1 species
AUUGAACGCUGGCGGCAUGCUUUACACAUGCAAGUCGAACGGUAACAGGCCGCAAGGUGCUGACGAGUGGCGAACGGGUGAGUAAUGCAUCGGAACGUGCCCAGUCGUGGGGGAUAACGCAGCGAAAGCUGCGCUAAUACCGCAUACGAUCUCUGGAUGAAAGCGGGGGACCGAAAGGCCUCGCGCGAUUGGAGCGGCCGAUGUCAGAUUAGGUAGUUGGUGGGGUAAAGGCCCACCAAGCCAACGAUCUGUAGCUGGUCUGAGAGGACGACCAGCCACACUGGGACUGAGAAACGGCCCAGACUCCUACGGGAGGCGGCAGUGGGGAAUUUUGGACAAUGGGCGCAAGCCUGAUCCAGCAAUGCCGCGUGCAGGAAGAAGGCCUUCGGGUUGUAAACUGCUUUUGUACGGAACGAAACGGUCCGGGUUAAUACCCUGGGCUAAUGACGGUACCGUAAGAAUAAGCACCGGCUAACUACGUGCCAGCAGCCGCAGUAAAAC